CAAACACGCGUCAUGUUUUACCCUCUGACCUCUAAACAGGACCCUGAACAGGUCCUAGACCUAACCCUGAACAGGCUGGUACCAGAUAUAUUAUUUGCUUGCUCAGCUGACUUUUAGAUAGCCACUGAAACUGUGAUGCAGAGGACUAUUUGGACAUUGUGAAAAGGGUUUUAACCAACUGCACAAAAAUAAGACUGUGUAAAGCUCGCUUUCCAUCCAAUUGGCGACAGAUUUUUAUGCAAAUAUGCAUAAAGAAAAUAUUCACAUUUCCCCACCAGUGGUGUGUUUCUACCAAACUGACAUGUUGCGGCUAAAAAGCACUGUGUGAUGAUGUAGUGCACAUUUCUAAAGCACUGUGUGAUGAUGUAGUGCACAUUUCUAAAGCACUGUGUGAUGAUGUAGUGCACAUUUCUAAAGCACUGUGUGAUGAUGUAGUGCACAUUUUUAAAGCACUGUGUGAUGAUGUAGUGCACAUUUUUAAAGCACUGUGUGAUGAUGUAGUGCACAUUUUUAAAGCACUGUGUGAUGAUGUAGUGCACAUUUUUAAAGCAGUGUGUGAUGAUGUAGUGCACAUUUUUAAAGCAGUGUGUGAUGAUGUAGUGCACAUUUUUAAAGCAGUGUGUGAUGAUGUAGUGCACAUUUUUAAAGCAGUGUGUGAUGAUGUAGUGCACAUUUUUAAAGCAGUGUGUGAUGAUGUAGGGCACAUUUUUAAAGCACAGUGUGAUGAUGUAGGGCACAUUUUUAAAGCAGUGUGUGAUGAUGUAGGGCACAUUUUUAAAGGUACUUUUUUACUUAAGUUUUCAUGUACCGAAUAAAAAUCACAUCCAUCGCA